CGAAAACAGAUGAAUUCAAUCUAAGAACAACUCUUGAAAUCCAAUCACUAUGAUCUUGGCAACCCUUAUUAAACUGUGCGUGAUUGUUUUUCUUGCAGACCCGUGUCCACCUGAGUUGGCAAGAUGCCGCGAUCCUGGUUUUCAAAUUGGAUAUAAAGAGCCCCGCGCGUAACAAGCACGUGCUUGGUGUCAUCAUUAUAAUUAAUAGUUUACCCAUCUGAUAAGCUAUUGUAAACUUUUCAAAUAAAAAGUAUUUUUAACGAA